rnacentral:rRNA from 1 species
GAUUUACUUAGGAAGUGUAUGUUAACGUUGUAUAGUUAUAUACUGAUUUUUAAGUGGUAAUGAUAUGUUUAUCGUUUUUCAUGAUAGCUAGUUUAUUGGCGUAGGAUAUUUAAGUAUCAUAGUAUUAAUAUAGCUUAUAGUUGUUUUAAUAUUAGUUUAUUGCAUGGGGGAUAAGCUUCAUGUAAUAAUAUAGAAUAUAAUAAGUAAGUUUUAUUAGGUUGUAAUUUAAGUAGAAUUAAUAAUGUUUUUCUUUAAAAGUAGUUUAAAUUAUAGUAAAAAUUAUUUAUUUUCAUGUUUAAGUAGUUGAUAAAUAUUUAUAAAUUUAUAUAUAAAUAAAUAUAAUGUUAAUAUGAGUAUUGGUUAAAUAAAUUGGUUAAAACAAUUUAAAGUGUUGUAAUUGAAAUUGGUUUUUAUUGAAAUAAAAUUAAAUGAAGUGAAGGAAUUCGGCAAAUAUUAAUCUCGCCUGUUUAUCAAAAACAUGUCUCUUUGUAAAAUGUAAAUAAAGAG